AUUUAGACGAGUUUUGGUAUUUGCUGUUGUAUGUAAUUCUGCACUAGCGUGAAUGGGAAGGAGCAUGUAUCUGAAAAUGUCGAUCACAGCUAUCAGACAUGUACUUCUGGGAUAGUUCAGUGGCCUUUGGCUUUCAGUCUAGUGUAAUUUAACAGUAUAUAUUACAAGAUUUUGGGUUAGUGAAUGUAUACAGGGUAUAGUUGGGUGAUCUUUAUCCUUUUGGCCUUGUUCACCUGAUUUUCUUCAGGUAGAUGCGAGCAGUGAAAUGAGGAUUCAGUCGUGAUAGGUAUCUAAGCCUGUUUCUUUCUUCAUUUCCAUUCUUUUUGACAAAAAGGAACUGUUCUGCACCCUUGAUUUCUUACUGGGACUUGCAGUCUUGGCGACUUAUUUUUGGGCUGUAAAGAAUAUUUUGGUUGGUCAAUAAUACAAUGCCAGCUUCCUAAAUGAUUAUGGUUAACCUGUGUCCAGAAAAAAAAAAAAAAAAAAAAAAAAUUCU
rnacentral:misc_RNA from 1 species